rfam:Myotis lucifugus cont2.21950, whole genome shotgun sequence.
GGCAGUGCUCGGGUGACACACCCUGGAAUCGGGCUCCCUCCUCUCUGGUUCCGGGUGUGUCACCUGAGAAUCACA